rnacentral:rRNA from 1 species
UUGAAAGGGAAACGAUUGAAGUCAGUCGUACCUGCGGGUAAUCAGCCUUUUGGGCAUGAUUCUGUGGAGCGUGAGGAGUUAAACGCCUUCAUGCCUGCAUAUUCGUGUACUUUGGGUGUGCUUGCGUGUGUGGUUAGUUAACAUCAAUUAAGGUUAUCAUAAAUUGGCGGGAGGAAUGUAGCUUCGAUUUCGAUUGAAGUGUUAUAGCCUUCGGCAGAUGUGAUGAUCGGAUUGAGGAUUGCAACGGAUACGCUUCGGGGCUACCUGUCUGGUCUCUGAUCGUUGCUCUGGUGCCGAAAGCGUGCUUACGGUUAUCAAAGUCGAUGGUCAAUAGGUUAGAACGGGUUAAAUUCGUUAAGGAUGUUGACGUA